GCUUGGUGAGGCUGUGUCACAAGGUGGCUGGCUGCAGAACCCUGGGCUUAGUGCUGGCUUGCUGGUGAGCAGGGUCAGGGUCCAGGAGAUCCCAGGGCUGAGGCCCACCUACUGGUGCAUUCAGCCAGGUCCUGGGGCUAGUGCCAGCCCAGUGGCAGGCAAAGUCAGGUCCUGGCGUCUGGCUGCAGAGUCCAGUGGUCCCAGAGGUUGUGUCUAAAUGUUGGUGGGUAAAGCCAUUUUCUGACACAGCUGCUGUGGGUCUGGCAUGUCUCACAGCUUGUGUUGGCCUACUGAUGAGUUGGGCUGGAUCCCAGGGCAGCUGGCAGCCAAGGUAUCUUAGAGCUGUUGUUGGCCUGCUGGUGGGUGGGCUGGGUCCCGCCAUGGCUGCAGUUGUCCUGAGGCUGCUGUCCACCUGCUGGUGGGUGAGGCUGGUUCUGAGGCUAGAGCAGCCUCACUGGUAGGCUGGGCUUGGGCCCAGGGAGUCUUAAGGCAGCCUCUUUGCUGGUGGGUGGGGCAGCAUCUGCACCCAGUUAAAUUGCUUGGCCUGAGGCGUCCCAGUACUGGUGCCUUUAGGCUGGCAGGCAGGGCUGGAUCCCUAGGCUAAUCAGCUCGAGGGAGGUUACAAAAUGGCGCUUGCCAGCACUAGUGUCCAUGUGGUAGAAUGAGCUCCCCCAAUGCCAGUGUCUGUACCCAGGGUUUGUUCCAGUUGCUUCCUUCUUCUCCAGGAGACUCUCCAAGAUCAGCAGGUAGGUCUGACCCAGGCUCCUUUCUAAGCAUUGCUUAUGCCCUAGGUCUCAGAGCGUGUGACAUUCUGUGUGCACCCUUUAAGAGCGGUGUCUCUGUUUCCCACAGUGCUCCGGAACUCCUGAAAGUAAGCUCCACUGGCCUCCAAGGCCAGACGUCCUGAAGGCUCAUCUUCCUUGUGCAGAUCCCUCGCUCCCUGCGGACAAGCUCUGCAACUGUAGCUAUUCUCCCAUUUGUGAAUCACCCACCUGGGGGUAUACUGCGACUCUGACUCUCCUACCCAUCUCACUGUGGCUCCUUCGUUACAUCUUUAGUUGCAGAAGAUCUUUUCUGGUGUAAAACCCCUCAAUCUGUGUGCACUCACCUGUUGCCAUGGCGACGAAUACCACCCAGCUGCCAUACUGUACACUGGACGGGCUGGACACGCCCCUCGGUUGCAGGUUUCUUCCAAGUCCAGCUAGCGGAACACUAGGGGCCAAGAAAAGAGGCGUCAGUGUGCAGGCUCCACCGUUACGUCUGCUGCGCAGAUGCGUUCUGACCUAAGGAGGCACCAUCCACGUGUAAUCCGAGGGACGGGACUGCAGCAGGUCAACCACACCACGCCUGGAUCCCGAAAGCACUGCACCCAGUCCCUCGUGCUGUAGAGGCCAGAGAAUCGGAGUCACAGAAUGCAUCCGUACCGUAGAACAAAAUGAGGCCCUGCCCAGCAGGACCAGGAGACGCCACGUGGAGGGAGUGAGACAAAGUCCGAGAGAGAGACAAGAUUGGCAGAGGAUGUGAUCAGGAUCUCUGUAUAGUGACUGGAUGUCCAGGAAUACCUGAGGCCUCUCUGCAGAGUCAGGGCUCAGUGUGCCAAGGAAGCAGGGCAGGGAGACUGGGGUUAGAUGCAGGGCAGGGGAAGAACCGUCAGAUCACAAGUAACUUGCCUUCAUUUCUACCCUGCCUCCCUCUUGGCUGAGAUACAACCUGCAGCUGUGGUAUGGCAGGAAAAACAGAGAAGGAUGGAGGCUGAUGAAACGUAUGAGACAACCUGUUUUGGUUUUAAACAGUAUUAUGGAAUCCUGUACGAAGCCUUGAUGAACUGAAUAAAUCCGUAAGAACUGGCAUCCGUGUAACCAUCAUAAAUAACGAAGGACAGGGAUGGGAUCGAGAUGCUGGAGGACCAGGGUAUGGAGCUCACCUUCUGCCACAAAUACAUCAAAAAUACACCUGCACGUGGAAUGAUUCUCACAGAACAUCUACUGAACCCUGGCAGGAGACCUCAGACUUUCAAAAGGGUAAGAAAAUCUCCACAUAACUGGGUAGGACAAAAGAAAAAAGGAAAAAAAAGAGAGGACAGGAUCUGUGCCCCUGGGAGGAAACUGUGCAAGGGGAAGGCUUUCUGCACCCUGGGAAGUCCCCUCACUGGCAGGGAGAUCAACCAGGACAGAGGGGAAGCUUUGGAGCCUUGGAGGAGCACAGCAACCAGUUUGUAGACGGCAAAGAGGAGAGAGACCUGCAUGGAGGGUUGGCACCACUGCCCGGCACCCCCUAGCCUGAGAUGCUCCUCCGCUGAGGCAGGCAGGGGCUGGGUGCUGACGCUCGGGAUUUGGAGGUCAGACCCAGGGAGAGGACUGGGGUCGGUUGCUUGGAGACACCCAGAGGGGGCUAGGGCGUGGUAUGCCCCAGCUGAGAAAGAAGCCUGGGCCCAUUAGAGAGGCA